rnacentral:rRNA from 1 species
AUUGAACGCUGGCGGCAUGCCUUACACAUGCAAGUCGAACGGUAACGGGCCUUCGGGUGCCGACGAGUGGCGAACGGGUGAGCAAUGUAUCGGAACGUGCCUUUCAGUGGGGGAUAACGUAGCGAAAGUUACGCUAAUACAGCAUAUUCUGUGAGCAGGAACGCAGGGGAACGCAAGACCUUGCGCUGCUUGAGCGGCCGGUGUCAGAUUAGCUAGUUGGUGAGGUAAAGGCUCACCAAGGCGACGAUCUGUAGCGGGUCUGAGAGGAUGAACCGCCACACUGGAACUGAGACACGGUCCAGACUCCUACGGGAGGCAGCAGUGGGGAAUUUUGGACAAUGGGGGCAACCCUGAUCCAGCCAUGCCGCGUGAGUGAAGAAGGCCUUCGGGUUGUAAAGCUCUUUCGGCCGGGAAGAAAUCGCACGGGCUAAUACCCUGUGUGGAUGACGGUACCGGAAUAAGAAGCACCGGCUAACUACGUGCCAGCAGCCGCUGUAAUAC